rnacentral:rRNA from 1 species
CGGGUGAGUAAUGUAUGGGGAUCUGCCUGAUGGCGGGGGAUAACUACUGGAAACGGUAGCUAAUACCGCAUAAUGUCUGCGGACCAAAGCGGGGGACCUCCGGGCCUCGCGCCAUCGGAUGUGCCCAGAUGGGAUUAGCUAGUAGGUGGGGUAACGGCUCACCUAGGCGACGAUCCCUAGCUGGUCUGAGAGGAUGACCAGCCACACUGGAACUGAGACACGGUCCAG